UUGAACGCUGGCGGCGUGCUUUACACAUGCAAGUCGAGCGGCAGCAUGACCUUCGGGUCGAUGGCGAGCGGCGAACGGGUGAGUAAUACAUCGGAACGUGUCCUGUAGUGGGGGAUAACCCACCGAAAGGUGAGCUAAUACCGCAUACGAUCUCAGGAUGAAAGCGGGGGACCUUUGGGCCUCGCGCUAGAGGAGCGGCCGAUGUCCGAUUAGCUAGUUGGUGGGGUAAAGGCUCACCAAGGCGACGAUCGGUAGCUGGUCUGAGAGGAUGAUCAGCCACACUGGGACUGAGACACGGCCCAGACUCCUACGGGAGGCAGCAGGGGGGAAUUUUGGACAAUGGGGGCAACCCUGAUCCAGCAAUGCCGCGUGAGUGAAGAAGGCCUUCGGGUUGUAAAGCUCUUUCGGCGGGGAAGAAAACGCGUCCGUGAAUAUCGGGCGUGGAUGACGGUACCCGAAGAAGAAGCACCGGCUAACUACGU
rnacentral:rRNA from 1 species